rnacentral:rRNA from 1 species
UGUAAAUCCCUGUCAGCAGGAAAGAACGACCUUCUUGUUCAUACCCUAGAUGAGUGAUGGUACUCGCAAAGGAAGAUGCGGCUAACUCUGUGCCAGCAUCCGCUGUACUACAGACGCCUCAAGCGUUGUUCGGAAUCAUUGCGCGUAAAGCGGGUGUAUGUGGCUAUGCAAGCUCAGAUGUGAAAGCCCUGGGCUUAGGCCAGGAAGUGCGUCUGAUACUGCGUGGCUCGAGCGCGAUAGAGGGAAAUGCGAAUUCCUAGUGGUAGUGCUCGAAAUCCGUAGAUAUUAGGAGGAAUACCAAUGGCGAAGGCAGUUUCCUGGUUCGCAGCUGACACUCAGACCCAGAAAGCGUGGGUAGCAAAUCAGGAUUAGAUACCCCUGGUAGUCCACGCCGUAUCCGAUGGAUGCUUGUCGUUAGGAGGAGUUAACCCCUUCAGUGACUGGAGCUAACGCACUUAAGCAUCCCACCAUGGGGAGUACGGUCGCAAGAUUAAAAGUCAAAGAAUCUGACGGGGACCCGCACAAGCAGUGGAGCAUGUGGUUUAAUUCGAUGCAACGCGAAGAACCUCAUCCUGGUCCUGACAUAUAAUGGACGGCUCUGUGAAAGCAGGCAGUCUCUUGAGGAGACUGAUAUACAGGUGCAGCAUGGCUGUCGUCAGCUCGUGUCGUGAGAUGUUGGGUUAAGUCCCGCUACGAGCGCGACCCAUAUCCCUGGUUGCCAGCAUUAAGUUGGGCACUCUAGGGAGACUGCCAGUGUCAAACUGGAGGAAAGGUAGUGUGAUGACGUCAAGUCCUCAUAGGCCCUAUGACCAGGGCUACACACGUGUUACAAUGGAGCAGACAAAGGGUUGCCAAACCGUAAGGUGGAGCUAAUCUCAAAGACUGUUCCUCAGUUCGGAUUGAGGUCUGCAACUGGACCUCAUG